UUCGGCAUACAAUAUAUUCUAAUGUACAAAAUAAUUAAUACGUGCAUAUACAAUAUCAAAGGAUUGCUUUAACAUUCAAUAUAAUUACAAUGUACAAAAUAAUUAAUAUGUACAUAUAUAAUAUUAAAGGAUUGCUUUAACUUUCAUCCAUCCAUCCAUUAUCUAUACACCGCUUAAUCCUCACUAGGGUCGCGGGGGGGCUGGAGCCUAUCCCAGCUGACUCGGGCGAAGGCAGGGGACACCCUAGACAGGUCGCCAGUCUGUCGCAGGGCUACAUAUAUAGACAAACAAUCACUCUCACAUUCACACCUACGGGCAAUUUAGAAUAAUCAAUUAACCUCAGCAUAUUUUUGGACUAUGGGAGGAAGCCGGAGUACCCGGAGAAAACCCACGCAUGCACAGGGAGAACAUGCAAACUCCAUGCAGAAAGAUCCCGGGAAAGCCGGGACGCGAACCAGGGAUCUUCUCGCUGCAAGGCGAAAGUGCUAACCACUACUCCACUGUGCAGCCCCCGAAGCAAACAUUCUAAACCAAUUUUUAAAUGUGAUUAUUUUAUGUAUUUGUACAUGUUUUAAUUUUGUGUGGAAAGUAGCUUAAGAUUAAAAGUGUUUUUCUUCUACUCUCUCUCUCUUGUUCUAAAUUUCCAACCCUGUUUUACCACAUUCAGUCACACCCAGGGGUCCAGCCAGUUGAGUGUGUUUAGAAGUGUGCUCAUUUCCACCUGUAACCAGCCAACGUCAUGGUGUAUGGAAGCAAAUCAGACUCAUCAGAUUCUGAAUUUUAAAAGCUGCUGAAUUUCUUACUUUGAAUUUUUUUUGCAUCAAAAUUACGUAUGUGAAUGUUUUAUGCCUGAAUUUAGCUCAUCAAAAUUCUAAAAACCAGUUAAAAAUUCUAUGUCUUCAAAAUUCACCAUCAAAAAAUUCAAUGUUCAAAAUUCGCCAUCAAAAAAUUCAAUGUUCAAAAUUCGCUGUCAAAAAAAUCGCUGUUCACAUCCGGGGGACUCAGGCGUAAACAAUCGAUCCUGGCCAAAAUCGAACCAACGCCCAGCCAAUCACGUGGCGCUCCUCCGGUCAUGUGACGCAGACGGUUCACCUCACAAGACCGGGGUCAACCACGGCUACCAGCAUGAACGACGGCGCUUCACAACACCGUCUGAUCUGACCAGUGUGGUGAAAGUCUGGACUGGAUGGGAGACUCUACCAAGAACUCUCUUCGCUGAAGUAGUGAAUGGCAGAUACCUGACAGCCUCCACCUGCUAUGAGACCUUACACAUCCCAGGACAUUACAAGGACUACGCAUCAUUUAAGACUGACAUCCUGGCCUGUAUUUGCACUUGCCAGUCAAGAUAUGUUAGGUGUUGUUCUCUAGUUAAUUUUACUUGACUGACAAAACUAAGUGCACUUUUGGAUUCCCUCCCCUACCUGUUCUCCCAACUCACCUGACAGGUUAUCUGGCUCAAGUAUGCGUGUUUCUGCCAGACAUUUAAAGUAUCUGAAGUUAAGAAUAUUUCUGGUGAACAAUACAUGCAAUCACAGCAUUAAAGCAGGAGUUAAAAAUGAA